rfam:Ipomoea nil DNA, scaffold: scaffold1026, cultivar: Tokyo-kokei standard.
GUAAAAAUAGGAAUUACAUAUAAUACAACUCGAGUUUUACUUUUCCAGUGGCGGACGGGUGAGUAACGCAUAAGAACCGGCCCAUGAAAGGGGAACAACAGCUGGAAACGGCUGCUAAUACCCCGUAGGCUGAGGAGCAAAAUGAGGAAUCCGUCCGAGGAGGGGCUCGCGUCUGAUUAGCUAGUUGGUGAGGCAAUAGCUUACCAAGGCGAUGAUCAGUAGUUGGUCCGAGAGGAUGAUCAGCCACACUAAGACUAAGACACGGCCCAGACUCCUAAGGGAGGCAACAGUGACGAAUUUUUCGCAAUGGGCGAAAGCCUGACGGAGCAAUGUCACGUGAAGGUAGAAGGUCCACGGGUCGUGAACUUCUUUUCCCGGAGAAGAUACAAUGACGGUAUCUAGGGAAUAAGCAUCGGCUAACUCUGUGCCAGCAGCCAAGGUAAUACAGAGAAUGCA